GACGAACGCUGGCGGCGUGCUUAACACAUGCAAGUCGAACGAAAAGGCCCUGCUUUUGUGGCGUGCUCGAGUGGCGAACGGGUGAGUAACACAUGAGUAACCUGCCCUUGACUUUGGGAUAACUUCAGGAAACUGGGGCUAAUACCGGAUAGGAGCUCCUGCUGCAUGGUGGGGGUUGGAAAGUUUCGGCGGUUGGGGCUGGUCUCGCGGCUUAUGAGCUGGUUGGUGGGGUAGUGGCGUACGAAGGCUUUGACGGGUAGCCGGCCUGAGAGCGUGACCGGGCACAAGGGGACUGCGAUACGGACCAGAAUCCAACGGGAGGCAGUAGUGGGGAAUAUUGCACAAUGGGCGGAAGUCUGAUGUAGCAGCGCUGCGUGCGGGAUGACGGCCUUUGGGUUGUAAACAGAUUUCGCCUGUGACGAAGAGUGAGUGACGGUAAUGGGUAAAGAAGCACCGGCUAACUACGUG
rnacentral:rRNA from 1 species